AGUGAACGCUGGCGGUAGGCCUAACACAUGCAAGUCGAACGGCAGCACAGUAAGAGCUUGCUCUUACGGGUGGCGAGUGGCGGACAGGUGAGGAAUACAUCGGAAUCUACUUUUUCGUGGGGGAUAACGUAGGGAAACUUACGCUAAUACCGCAUACGACCUACGGGUGAAAGCAGGGGAUCUUCGGACCUUGCGCGAUUGAAUGAGCCGAUGUCGGAUUAGCUAGUUGGCGGGGUAAAGGCCCACCAAGGCGACGAUCCGUAGCUGGUCUGAGAGGAUGAUCAGCCACACUGGAACUGAGACACGGUCCAGACUCCUACGGGAGGCAGCAGUGGGGAAUAUUGGACAAUGGGCGCAAGCCUGAUCCAGCCAUACCGCGUGGGUGAAGAAGGCCUUCGGGUUGUAAAGCCCUUUUAUUGGGAAAGAAAAGCAGCAGGUUAAUACCCCGCUGUUCUGACGGUACCCAAAGAAUAAGCACCGGCUAACUUCGUG
rnacentral:rRNA from 1 species